rnacentral:rRNA from 1 species
GACGAACGCUGGCGGCGUGCUUAACACAUGCAAGUCGAACGGAAAGGCCCUGCUUUUGUGGGGUGCUCGAGUGGCGAACGGGUGAGUAACACGUGAGUAACCUGCCCUUGACUUUGGGAUAACUUCAGGAAACUGGGGCUAAUACCGGAUAGGAGCUCCUGCUGCAUGGUGGGGGUUGGAAAGUUUCGGCGGUUGGGGAUGGACUCGCGGCUUAUCAGCUUGUUGGUGGGGUAGUGGCUUACCAAGGCUUUGACGGGUAGCCGGACUGAGAGGGUCACCGGACACAUUGGGAAUGAGAUACGCACCAGACUCCUACGGGAGACAGCAGGGGGGAAUAUUGCACAAUGGGAGGACGCCUGAUGCAGCAACGCCGCGUGCGGGAUGACGGCUUUCGGGUUGUAAACCGCUUUCGCCUGUGACGAAGCGUGAGUGACGGUAAUGGGUCAAGAAGCACCGGGUAACUACGUG